rnacentral:tRNA from 7 species
UGCGGGAUCGUCUAAUGGUAGGACACAGCCCUUUGGAGGCUGGUAUCAUGGUUCGAAUCCAUGUCCCGCAGCCA